GAUGAAGAACGCAGUGAAAUGCGAUACUUGGUGUGAAUUGCAGAAUCCCGUGAACCAUCGAGUCUUUGAACGCAAGUUGCGCCUGAAGCCACUAGGCCGAGGGCACGCCUGCCUGGGCGUCACACGCCGUUGCCCCCCCAUCUACUCCUUCGGGAUUGCGGGGGGGCGGAUGAUGGCCUCCCGUGCGCCUAGCCGCGCGGUUGGCAUAAAUACCAAGUCCUCGGCGACGCACGCCACGACAAUCGGUGGUUGCGAAACCUCGGUUGCCCGUCGUGUGCGUUCGUCGCGCAUCGAGGGCUCGAAAAAAUGCUCGGCUCCGGCUGGGCUUUCAACGCGACCCCAGGUCAGGCGGGGUUACCCGCUGAAUUUAAGCAUAUCAAUAAGCGGAGGA
rnacentral:misc_RNA from 1 species